rnacentral:rRNA from 1 species
GACGAACGCUGGCGGCGUGCUUAACACAUGCAAGUCGAACGGAAAGGCCCUGCUUUUGUGGGGUGCUCGAGUGGCGAACGGGUGAGUAACACGUGAGUAACCUGCCCUUGACUUUGGGAUAACUUCAGGAAACUGGGGCUAAUACCGGAUAGGAGCUCCUGCUGCAUGGUGGGGGUUGGAAAGUUUCGGCGGUUGGGGAUGGACUCGCGGCUUAUCAGCUUGUUGGUGGGGUAGUGGCUUACCAAGGCUUUGACGGGUAGCCGGCCUGGGAGGGUGACCGGCCACAUUGGGACUGAGAUACGGCCCAGACUCCUACGGGAGGCAGCAGUGGGGAAUAUUGCACAAUGGGCGGAAGCCUGAUGCAGCAACGCCGCGUGCGGGAUGACGGCCUUCGGGUUGUAAACCGCUUUCGCCUGUGACGAAGCGUGAGUGACGGUAAUGGGUAAAGAGGCACCGGCUAACUACGUG